UACGUAGGGUGCAAGCGUUAAUCGGAAUUACUGGGCGUAAAGCGUGCCGCAGGCGGUUUUGUAAGUCUGUCGUGAAAUCCCCGGGCUCAACCUGGGAAUUGCGAUGGAGACUGCAAGGCUAGAAUCUGGCAGAGGGGGGUAGAAUUCCACGUGUAGCAGUGAAAUGCGUAGAGGUGUGGAGGAACACCGAUGGCGAAGGCAGCCCCCUGGGUCAAGAUUGACGCUCAUGCACGAAAGGCGUGGG
rnacentral:rRNA from 1 species